GAUGAACGCUGGCGGCGUGCCUAAUACAUGCAAGUCGAGCGAACGGACGAGAAGCUUGCUUCUCUGAUGUUAGCGGCGGACGGGUGAGUAACACGUGGAUAACCUACCUAUAAGACUGGGAUAACCUCGGGAAACCGGAGCUAAUACCGGAUGAUAUUUUGAACCGCAUGGUUCAAAAGUGAAAGACGGUCUUGCUGUCACUUAUAGAUGGAUCCGCGCUGCAUUAGCUAGUUGGUAAGGUAACGGCUUACCAAGGCAACUAUGCAUAGCCGACCUGAGAGGGUGAUCGGCCACACUGGAACUGAGACACGGUCCAGACUCCUACGGGAGGCAGCAGUAGGGAAUCUUCCGCAAUGGGCGAAAGCCUGACGGAGCAACGCCGCGUGAGUGAUGAAGGUCUUCGGAUCGUAAAACUCUGUUAUUAGGGAAGAACAUAUGUGUAAGUAACUGUGCACAUCUUGACGGUACCUAAUCAGAAAGCCACGGCUAACUACGUG
rnacentral:rRNA from 1 species